rfam:Loxodonta africana unplaced genomic scaffold scaffold_194, whole genome shotgun sequence.
CCCUUGGUAGUACAAACUGUUAAUGUGCUUGGCUUCUGACCAAAUGGUUGGUGGCUCAAGUCCACCCAGAGGCA